GGGGUAAUAGCUCAGUGGUAGAGUGUGUGCUUAGCAUGCACAAGGUCCUGGAUUCAAUCCCCAGCACUUCUA
rnacentral:tRNA from 1 species